CUUGUCUAUACAAUCCAGGAGUGGGACAGAGUGGGACCCCGGAUAGAGGUUUGGGUCUGGAAUGGAGGUCUGGGUCAGGGCCCUGGAUGCAGUUGUGAGCCCUAGCAAGGAGGUCUGGGCCCCAGAUGGAGACAAAAA